rnacentral:RNase_P_RNA from 1 species
CGAGCCGGCCGGGCGGCCGCGUCGAGGUCCACGAGAUGGGCCUCGCCGAGGAAGGUCCGGGCUCCGCAGGGCGGGGUGGUGGGUAACGCCCACCCGGGGUGACCCGCGGGACAGUGCCACAGAAAACAGACCGCCCCCCGGCUCUGCCCUCGGGCAGGUCAGGAGGUAAGGGUGAAACGGUGGUGUAAGAGACCACCAGCGCCCGGGGUGACCCGGGCGGCUCGGUAAACCCCACCCGGAGCAAGGUCAAGAGGGGAGCCGAUGGCUCCCUGCGCAGGCGAUCGAGGGUGGCCCGCCCGAUGCCUGCGGGUGGACCGCUGGAGGCUGUCGGCAACGGCAGCCCGAGAGGGAUGGCCGCCGCUCGGAACGCCGCAAGGCGCCCGAGCACAGAACCCGGCCUACAGGCCGGCUCGUCCG